rnacentral:lncRNA from 1 species
AAUAGAAAUCUUCAUAAAAUAUUAAGAUAAAAAUAUGAAUUAAAUCUUAGUCAAAAUUUAAUCAAAUCUUAGUGAAAUAUUAGUCAAAUCUUUGUCAAUCCGUAAUCAAAUCUUAAAAAAGCCCUAACCAAAUUCUAGACAAAUCCUAAUCAAAUCUUAGUCAAAUCCUAAUUGAAUCUUAUUCAAAUCCUAAACGUACAUCAAUCAAAUCCUAAUCAAAUCUUAAAUAAAUCCUAGUCAAAU